AUUGAACGCUGGCGGCAGGCCUAACACAUGCAAGUCGAACGAGUGGCGGACGGGUGAGUAAUGUAUGGGAAACUGCCUGAUGGAGGGGGCUAACUACUGGAAACGGUAGCUAAUACCGCAUACCAUCGGAUGUGCCCAGAGGGGAUUAGCUAGUAGGGGGGGUAACGGCUCACAUAGGCGACGAUCCCUAGCUGGUCUGAGAGGAUGACCAGCCACACUGGAACUGAGACACGGCCCAGACUCCUACGGGAGGCAGCAGUGGGGAAUAUUGCGCAAUGGGCGAAAGCCUGAUGCAGCCAUGCCGCGUGUAUGAAGAAGGUCUUCGGGUUGUAAAGUUCUGUCAGCGGGGAGGCGUUACCCGCAGAAGAAGCACCGGCUAACUCCGUGCCAGCCGCCGCGGUAAUAC
rnacentral:rRNA from 1 species